GCAAACAAAUUUAUUCAUAUUUUAUAAAUGUUAUUAUUCAAGAAUCACGUUCUUUGAUAAGCUAACUUGGUGCACUCACACGUCUAUGAAGCUUUGGAAUGAUGCUGAAAUAUGCAAACAGCAGACAUUGUUUGAAGCGGAACAACAGCAACGCGGAAAUGCGAGAUAGAAUUUCAAUAUACGCAUUUUCGUCUCGUUCAAAUUCAAAGAGCUACACCCUGUCGACAGCGAUGGAAAAACUUUUUUCAACAUUGUUGGCGUUGGCCGUUGCAUUGAUGUUUUUAAUAGGAACAUCUUAUGGUUGCGAGACAGACGAAGAUUGCGACUGGUGCGAACAUUGCGACCCUGACUAUGGCCCUACAUGUUAUGAAGGUGUUUGUUAUUAGCGCGAAACAAUGUUCAUGCACUGAAAAAAUCAAUAAGAUCAUCACCAUACAAAGAGAAGGAAUACCUUGUAUACAACCCAACAAAUGUUUUUCAUUGAUUAAUAAAUAUAAUAUGAAGUAAAUACAAAAAUACCUUGUUUCGUUUUGUUUUGGUAAUUUGAU